rnacentral:rRNA from 1 species
UGAUUUCAAAUUUCUAAGAGCAAACGGUGAAUGCCUUGGCAUGUAGAGCCGAAGAAGGACGUAGUAAUCUGCGAUAAGCCUCGGGGAGUUGAUAAACGAACUUUGAUCCGAGGAUUUCCGAAUGGGGAAACCCCGCCAGGCCCGCAAGGUGACCUGGUGACUCCCGCCUGAAUAUAUAGGGCGGGUAGAGGGAACGUGGGGAAGUGAAACAUCUCAGUACCCACAGGAAGAGAAAACAACAGUGAUUCCGUUAGUAGUGGCGAGCGAAACCGGAUGAGGCUAAACCGAUCAUGUGUGAUAGCCGGCAGGCGUUGCAUGGUCGGGGUUGCGGGACUUUUCUGCUGCUUCUGCCGAACAGUGAGGGUUAGAACGUUGUAUAGACGAACAGGAUUGAAAGCCUGGUCAUAGAGGGUGCGAACCCCGUAGUCGAAAUGCAGCAAUCGCCCGAAGAGUAUCCCAAGUAGCACGGGGCCCGAGAAAUCCCGUGUGAAUCCGUCAGGACCACCUGAUAAGCCUAAAUACUCCUACAUGACCGAUAGUGAACAAGUACCGUGAGGGAAAGGUGAAAAGUACCCCGGGAGGGGAGUGAAAUAGUACCUGAAACCGUUUGCUUACAAACCGUUGGAGCCAGCUUUGUUCUGGUGACAGCGUGCCUUUUGAAGAAUGAGCCUGCGAGUUAGUGAUAUGUGGCGAGCUUAACCCGAGAGGGGAAUGCGUAGCGAAAGCGAGUCUGAAUAGGGCGAUUCAGUCGCAUGUCCUAGACCCGAAGCGAAGUGAUCUAUCCAUGGCCAGGUUGAAGCGACGGUAAGACGUCGUGGAGGACCGAACCCACUUCAGUUGAAAAUGGAGGGGAUGAGCUGUGGAUAGGGGUGAAAGGCCAAUCAAACUUCGUGAUAGCUGGUUCUCUCCGAAAUGCAUUUAGGUGCAGCGUUGCGUGUUUCUUGCCGGAGGUAGAGCUACUGGAUGGCCGAUGGGGCCCAAAAGCUUACUGACGUCAGCCAAACUCCGAAUGCCGGUAAGUGAGAGCGCAGCAGUGAGACGGUGGGGGAUAAGCUUCAUCGUCGAGAGGGAAACAACCCAGACCACCAACUAAGGUCCCAAAGCGCGUGCUAAGUGGGAAAGGAUGUGGAGUUGCACAGACAACCAGGAGGUUGGCUUAGAAGCAGCCACCCUUGAAAGAGUGCGUAAUAGCUCACUGGUCAAGUGAUUCCGCGCCGACAAUGUAACGGGGCUCAAGCACGCCACCGAAGUUGUGGCAUUAAUAUUUUUGGUAAGCCGCCACCUUGUGUGGUUGGUUCAGCCGUGUUGAUGGGUAGGAGAGCGUCGUGUGGCCAGCGAAGCGGCGGUGUAAACCAGCCGUGGAGGCUACACGAGUGAGAAUGCAGGCAUGAGUAGCGAAAGACGGGUGAGAAACCCGUCCUCCGAAAGAUCAAGGUUUCCAGGGCCAGGCUAAUCCGCCCUGGGUAAGUCGGGACCUAAGGCGAGGCCGACAGGCGUAGUCGAUGGACAACGGGUUUAUAUUCCCGUACUGAUGAAGAACCGUCCAAGCUAA